rnacentral:lncRNA from 1 species
ACUAGCCCGCUCGAAAAUAGCUGCGUAACGAUCAAGAAAGUCUAAAACCUAAAUCCCAAACAACUUAUCUUUUAUCCUGUCUCUUGGUUUGUGAUUCUUUUUUCUGCAUAAAAAAUCAACUUAAAAAAACAGUCUACCGGAACCGGAGCCUUAAUAAAAGUGAAAAGAUGUGCUGAAGUGUUUUGUUAAUCAUGGAGAUUUUUAGAUUUGUCAGUCGAUCUCGGAUCUGGAAGCUGGAACGGGUUUUUCUUUAUUCAAGAUUCUAACACAAUUUUAUUUUAAAAAUUAGUCGUUAAGCCCAGCCGGUUAUAAUGCUGAACAGUGAACAUUUUAUAUUCACAGUUCACACUUCACAGUCGAAUUUGCCGCUUUGGCUCUUAGCAAUUGCAGGGAUGCCAGAUGCGGACUUUUAAAUUGCAAAACUGAAAAUGGCAAUGUUGCGCCUUGCCCGUUACUUUCAAGAUGGCUGUUACUACUGUCAGAGUGUCAGUCUUACGUGGUUACGCCAAUCUCUUCGGAUCUAACAUAAUUCAACUCAACUUUCUCAACUUAUUUUCCCUGGCAUUAUUCGCCAUAAAAAUGAUAACAUAGCCUGCAAUUUAUACAUGGCAAUUUCAUCUUAUCAUGUGGCCUGAAACUGCUGUUUCCCAAAAUGUCGUCUCUAGCUGCACGUACCGGCUGUACGCUUCAGAACAGUAAAUGUGAUCAUUUUGAGCUUCUUCAUUGCAGUCCAGAUUUCUCAUUGAUUUGUUGAAGCCAGCUGGCGAAAGGUGUUGCUCUUACUGUCUUGCUACCUGUACCAGUUGUAGCUUUCGUCACACACUGAAACACUUCCGAACAAUUUAAAGAUUAACAGCUACUUGAAGUCUGAGCCUCUUUGUUGCAGUCCAAUAUGUACAUGAAUGUUGUGAAGCCAGCUGGAGAAUGGUGUGGUGAGCUGUUGCAUGCCGACUGGGUUGCUGGUGUCGUUUGUUCAUUUAACUAUGGACCGUUCAGUCGUUCGUUUAUCGUUUCCAUGGUCAGUUUUAUGUUUGAGCUGUUUGUGGCGUUGCUGUUUGGGGUACAGUGGUUUUGCAGUCAUUUUCUAGUUGAGAGAUGCGCUGAAAUGGAGCUUGUGCGGACUUGCAGUUGAACAUAAUACUUUAAUGUGUUAUUUGCCUAUGUCGGUGUCCAUGCACUCUAUGCAGUGUUGAACUGCUGUGAAAAAUAAUCGAUAUUGCCUGAUGGCUGUCGGGCUUAUUUUAUCGGCAGCAUGUUGUCGAUAUGUCGUCUCUUGCUACCUGUACCGCCGUUGA